UCUAACCCUCCAACCCCAUCUGACUGCCCCUGUACCGUCCUUUUUCUACGAGGGGUCUGUUAUGAGCUGACCAGUGUCCCAAAGCGGAUAGUGUGAAAUCCUGAGCCCUGCUACCUGGGAAUGGGACUCCGUGUGGACACGAGUUUCUUGCAGAGGUGAUUACACUCAAGAGGAAAUCAUUAACAUGGGCCUGAUUUGAGGACAAGCGUCCUCAGAGAAAGAGGGAAACACGGACACAAAGACACAGGGAGACGGUUCCGGGACGGACGCAGAGGCCAGAGCGAUGUGGACACAGCCACGGAUAGCAGGAGCCCCCAGAAGCUGGGAGAGGCGGGAAGGGUCCUCCCCUGGAGCCUUGAGUGGGAAGUGUGGCCCUGCCCACACCAUGACCCCCGACUCCCGCUCCCCAGGACUGGGAGAGGUUCUGCGAGUGCUGCGUAGGCCCCGUCUGCGGCCUCUCUGGUGGAGCCCCAGGAAACACAGUGGUCCCGUCCCUUCACCAACAGGGACCCUGCCACACCACGCAGGAUCCCGGAUCCGCCUCGCGGACUCUGCCCUGUGGGGACCUCGCUGCACAGGGGCGAAGGCGGCUGUGGUAGGCUCCCGCAGGUCCUGGGACCCAGGCUUUGGGGUCUGAAGCUGAACUAAGCCUUGAAGGUGAGGGACGAACCAGCGCGGCCCUCCACACGCCGGAACACAACCCAGCCAUGAAAGGAGUAAGGCUCUGACCCAGGCCACAGCGUGGACACGCCCUGGGGAUGUUGCACCCUGUGAGAGACACCAGACACACAAGACCUGGGAGGGCCCUGGAGGAGGCCAACUCACAGAGACCAGGAGGGCGGAGGCGACACCUGCCUUUUUAGGAAACAGACACCAGAGGCAGGCACUGGCUUGCGUCACCAGGGCACAGCCGCCUCCCGCAGCCCCAAAGGCCCACGUGUCCCCACCACACCCAAUCACUCCUGGGCCAGCACUGGCCAUUCCAGGACGAGGAGAGGCCUAAGCAUCUGUCCCCAGUGAAGACAGCCUCUGGGGGACAAUUUCCCGAGCGUGGAGCCAGAGGGGCUAUAGAGACCUGAGCCCCAGGAGAGCGGUGGGUGUGGGACCCCGGAACUGACUCACAUAUGAACAGGGAAUCUGCGCAGAUCCUGAGCCCCCGUGGGUGUGGGCCCCCCGGGACCGAUUCGCAGAUGAAGGGGGAUCUACACAGAUCCUCCAGCACUUACAGAAAGGAAACCGCGGAGCAGAGGCCACUUUCAAAGGCAGUACUGUGGCAUGAAAACCCCACCCUGGGGCAGGGGCUCCUGGGGGGGGUCUCCAUUGGAAGCGCAGUGCUACAUACAGGCCGUGCAGAGGUGGUGCGUGCAGCCACAGAGGACUUGAGCUGCGGCCGGGGGAGGACAGCUGGAAACAUCUGCUUCACAGGCAGCAGCGCCCAGACAGCAGCCUGUACCCCUUGGCACACCAAAAACCAGGCAGGACCUGAACACUGAGCUUCAGUGCGGGGGUGAGAGAGCCGCUGCUCAGACUCCAGGAAUCCCAGAGCCAAGAGGCGAGGAACUUGUUCAAGUCUAGCAAAUCCGAGGCCAGAGGGAGGCCAGCCCUCCGCCCUCCUCGGGUAGAUCAGCCACCACCAUCGGCUCCAUGCAGGUCGCUCAGCACUGACGGCUUCACAGGCCCCAUGCAGCCAGCAGGCAACUCACCGGCUGCCGCAGGGCAGAGAUGAUCUGGACUGCCCAGGGGUGUAGGGUCCUGACCCCAGGAUCUGUGCUUAGGCCACCUUGCAGAGCAGCAGGGACUCUGCAGGUGCCACUGAAUGUUUCAGAGGGUGGCAGGUGUGGAUGGGGCUUCCCGAGACACUUACGCUCCCCACGGUCCUGGAGGCCCUCUCUCUGCCCCGCCCCGUGAAGGGUGCCCUGCCUUCUCUCUUUCCUCUCUGUGCCCCCACGGCCCCUGACUUCUGACAGCCCCAUACUGUGUUGGAUGUGGUGGGGAGGGUCAUUCAGUGACCAACACACACGAACGGAGCCCUCCCAACAAGAGGGCCACAGACCCACCCAACCACUGGAGUGAGCUCCCUACGGGAGGGGCGGUGGGAGAAAAUCCAGCUGGUGGAGCAGCGUUCUCGGCAGCGGCUGUGCUGUCAGGAAACCCAGGAAACGCUUUUUUAAUGGAGAUAUGGUCUCCUGCUCUGUCGCCCAGGCUGGAGCGCAGUAGUUUGAUCAUAGCUCACUGCAGCCUCCACCUCCUAGGCUCCAGCUACCCUCCCCCCUCAGCCUCCUGAGUAGCUAGGACCAGAGACAUGCACCACCACGCCUGCUAAAGAAAGCACAUUUGUAAAAGUGGCCCCCAACAACCAGCUGUCAAAGGAAAAGGAAGACGGACAACAGCACCAGCAGACUCCAAACCCCAGCACAGGACAGUCUCCCCAAGACCUGGCAUCUCGCAGAGGGACCCAUGGGCGGGGGAGCGCGGGUACAAGUGGAACAGCUCCAGGACUGCAUUCCAUGCCAGCGCCGCCCCCGCUCCACAUCUGGCUUCGGGGGUGAGGCCCAGCCCUUCCCUUGUCCUGGUGGGAACCGCUCUGGCUUCUGUACCUUCAGCACCCUUGGCCAGGCCUUCUCCAAGAAUGGAAAAACUUCACAAUGCAAAUCUCGUUCAUUAGAGAACUUAGCUGCCAGGCGCAGCAGGAGGAUACCAGGAGUUCGCGAUCAGCCAACAUGGCAAGACCCCGUUUCUACAGAAAGUACAGACAGAGGCACUGUUGGGGGCUGAGGCGGGCAGAUCACCUGAGCUCAGGAGUUCAAGACCAGCCUGGCCAACAUGG